AUCAAAUCAGAAGCACUUAAAAUUCAACAUAGCUAUUUAGAUAUAUAAUAUAAUUGAAAUUAUAACAUCUCUUAUGAAUCUAAGAAAAAUCAAAGUGAAACCCAAUUUGAAUCUAAACUUUUCAGUCUAUCUUUUAAAGAAGACUGCAUGAUCACAGAUAAUAAUAGGGUGUGCCGACUCAUUCAUAUUGCAAUAGAUGGCACAUACUUCUAAUAUAGUAUAAAAUAAAAGUGGUGGCAUGGUUGAAAACUAAAAGUGCUAUAGUUGUUGAAUUAAAAAGAUUUAGCCAAACUACAAGCCUAAAACCACAGGGAAUAGCAGUGUUCUUGAAAAAAGGUAAAUGUCUCAAUAAUUUACAUGUGAAUUACAGUAUGUUAAUAAUUCAAUUAAUUUUUUUCAUGGUUAUUAUUAUUGUAUUUACUUUGAAAUCAUUUAUUAAAAUCAUGUUUUCAUUGAAUUUGUUGUUUUUAUUUUGGUGGCUAGUGGCAAUUAAAGUAUUGGCAAAUAAUAGAAAUGUAUUGGUGAAUGUGAGUUUUAAAGUUUCCAUAGAUACUGUGACAUCUGAAAUUAGAUGCAUGGCUAUAAAGGCCACUGGUGGAAGGACAAUUACUGAAGUCCAGUAACAUAAAUAUAUAAGUUUGUAAGUAACUGCCAUUAGCAUAAGUAAAUACAAUACGAUUGCUUCAGCCCAUGGAUCAAGGAGUUAUUUCAACAUUUAUGGUAUAUUAUAUGUAGCUAGUUAUGAAAUAUCUUAUCUAUCGACCAGAUAGCAGUGAUAAGAUUUUGAUAAAAGAUUUAUUGAAAAUUUAUAAUAUAAAAAUAACUGUUGAAAAUAUAGGAAUUCAUGGGGAAAAUUUCUGAUGCCUAUCAGAAAAGAUGAUGAAUGCUGUUUGAAAAAACAUCUACUGAAUUCAUAUAUGACUUUGAAAGCUUCAAAAUAAUAAAGAGCAACAUUAAAGAUAUUGUUAACUUAGUUAACAAAACUGGUUUUGAAGAGUUGGCAGUGAAGAUGUUCAAUAGGUGCUAGACACUCAUCAGUAUGUAUGUCUAGCACUUACUGACUAAUGAAGAGUUAAUUCACUGUGAUGCAAAAGAUUUGGAUAAGGAUGAAGAAAAGGAUGAAAUACUGAAAAAGAUGAAUAAAGAAAAAUUAUGCCAGCAUUUUGCUCUUAUUGUUAAUGCUAAUAUUUUAUUUGUAUUAAAACAAUGGCAAUCUUGAAACAGUUUGGCAAAUAAAAACUUGGAUUGGUAAAGUUAUUCAAUAUUGUGAGAUCUUGAUGAAAAUAAGAUGUGAAAAAUAAAAUAGAUGACUAUUUUAUAUAUUUUUUUUUAUUCAAUUACUACUAUCUAUCCACAGCCUUUAAUAGAAAUCUCAUCUUAUCCAAAAUAUUAAGCCAAUUGAAAUGAUGAUACCAUGAAUUUUUUUCCCAGUAGCUAUUUCAGAUAUUUCUUAACCUAAGGUAGUUCAACAAUAUAACCAAUAAAAUGAUUGGUUAUUUUAUCAAAUUCUUUACCAUCUUUAUCAUUUUUUGACUUGCCAGCACCUACCUCCUUUGACCUCAUUCUCACCAACCUGUUCUCUCCUAUCCAUUAAUUUAAACAGAGAUUUGAAUCUUUUUUCCUAAAUUAUGUCAAAUUUUUCAUUAUAAUUAUAUAUUUAUAUAUUUUUUUUUGUCAACAGAUGAUGCCACUUUCCAUUCAGGAAGAACACUAAGUGGCGGGAUGAAACAAAC
rnacentral:lncRNA from 1 species